rnacentral:rRNA from 1 species
CCUACGGGUGGCAGCAGUGAGGAAUCUUGGUCAAUGGGCGCUAGCCUGAACCAGCCAAGUAGCGUGAAGGAUGACUGCCCUAUGGGUUGUAAACUUCUUUUAUAUGGGAAUCAAGUGCAGUAUGUAUACUGCUUUGCAUGUACCUUAUGAAUAAGGAUCGGCGAACUCCGUGCCAGCAGACGCGGUAAUACGGAGGAUCCGAGCGUUAUCCGGAUUUAUUGGGUUUAAAGGGAGCGUAGGCGGGUUGUUAAGUCAGUUGUGAAAGUUUGGGGCUCAACCGUAAAAUUGCAGUUGAUACUGGCAUACGUGAGUACAGUAGAGGUAGGCGGAAUGUGGGGUGUAGCGGUGAAAUGCUUAGAUAUCACGAAGAACACCGAUUGCGAAGGCAGCCUGCUGGACUAUAACUGACGCUGAGGCUCGAAAGUGUGGGUAUCAAACAGGAUUAGAUACCCCGGUAGUC